rnacentral:rRNA from 1 species
CCUACGGGAGGCAGCAGUCGAGAAUCAUUCACAAUGGGGGAAACCCUGAUGGUGCGACGCCGCGUGGGGGAAUGAAGGUCUUCGGAUUGUAAACCCCUGUCAUGUGGGAGCAAAUUAAAAAGAUAGUACCACACGAGGAAGAGACGGCUAACUCUGUGCCAGCAGCCGCGGUAAUACAGAGGUCUCAAGCGUUGUUCGGAAUCACUGGGCGUAAAGCGGGCGUAGGCUGUUUCGUAAGUCGGGUGUGAAAGGCGCGGGCUCAACCCGCGGACGGCACAUGAUACUGCGAGAAUAGAGUAAUGGAGGGGGAACCGGAAUUCUCGGUGUAGCAGUGAAAUGCGUAGAUAUCGAGAGGAACACUCGUGGCGAAGGCGGGUUCCUGGACAUUAACUGACGCUGAGGCACGAAGGCCAGGGGAGCGAAAGGGAUUAGAUACCCGAGUAGUC